GCCCUCUUCCGAGUGAACGGUCUGCUCCACGAUGAAGGCUUGGGCCUCUUGGUGGCCUACCUGGAUUGUCUGGAAGCCCAGAGCUUGCUGCAGCCACCAAAUGAAGGGAGGGUGCUGAGUGCUGGGGAUCGAACCCAAGGCCUUGAGCAUGCCAGGCAAAUGCUAUCCCCAGUCCUGAGCUUUGAAGGCUAUGAUAUAAAGGAUGGCAACAAACCAAGAAAGCCUUCCAUAAACCAUAAAGCUUGGUCUUAUGAUAGUAUAAUUUGAAGCUAAAAUUGAAUAUCUCUCAGGACACAGGAUUGAAAGGCAAGUCAAAGGGUGGGAUCCUGAGAACAGAGGCUCUGGGAGUGGAGGGAAUGCAGAGUGACAGGCAGCAAGAAGCCCAAAUUCUAC